UGGGGAAUAUUGCACAAUGGGCGAAAGCCUGAUGCAGCAACGCCGCGUGCGGGAUGACGGCCUUCGGGUUGUAAACCGCUUUCAGCAGGGACGAAGGUUUUCUGACGGUACCUGCAGAAGAAGCACCGGCUAACUACGUGCCAGCAGCCGCGGUGAUACGUAGGGUGCGAGCGUUGUCCGGAAUUAUUGGGCGUAAAGAGCUUGUAGGCGGUCCGUUGCGUCGGAAGUGAAAACUCAGGGCUUAACCCUGAGCCUGCUUUCGAUACGGGCGGACUUGAGGGAUGUAGGGAGAACGGAAUUCCUGGUGGAGCGGUGGAAUGCGCAGAUAUCAGGAGGAAUACCAGUGGCGAAGGCGGUUCUCUGGACAUUUGCC
rnacentral:rRNA from 1 species